UACGUAGGCAGCAAACGUUGUUCGGAAUUACUGGGCGUAAAGAGUGUGUAGGCGGUUUUGUUAGUUUGGUGUGAAAUCUCCCGCUUAACUGGGAGGGUGCGCCGAAUACUGCAAAGCUUGAGUACUGGAGAGGAUAGCGGAAUUCCUGGUGUAGCGGUGAAAAUGCGUAGAUAUCAGGAGGAACACCGGCGGUGUAGACGGCUAUCUGGACAGUAACUGACGCUGAGACACGAAAGCGUGGGGAGCAAACAGG
rnacentral:rRNA from 1 species